GACGAACGCUGGCGGCACGCCUAACACAUGCAAGUCGAACGGAGAAUGCUUAGCUUGCUAUGCAUUCUUAGUGGCGGACGGGUGAGUAACACGUGAGCAACCUGCCUCUGAGAGAGGGAUAGCUUCUGGAAACGGAUGGUAAUACCUCAUAACGCAGCAAAACCGCAUGAUUUUGCUGCCAAAGAUUUAUCACUCAGAGAUGGGCUCGCGUCUGAUUAGCUAGUUGGUGAGGUAACGGCUCACCAAGGCGACGAUCAGUAGCCGGACUGAGAGGUUGAACGGCCACAUUGGGACUGAGACACGGCCCAGACUCC
rnacentral:rRNA from 1 species